AUUGAACGCUGGCGGCAGGCCUAACACAUGCAAGUCGAACGAGUGGCAGACGGGUGAGUAAUGUCUGGGAAACUGCCUGAUGGAGGGGGAUAACUACUGGCAACGGUAGCUAAUACCGCAUACUGUCAUUUGUUCCCCGAUGGGAUUAGCUUGUUGGUGGGGUAACGGCUCACCAAGGCGACGAUCCCUAGCUGGUCUGAGAGGAUGACCGGCCACACUGGAACUGAGACACGGUCCAGACUCCUACGGGAGGCAGCAGUGGGGAAUAUUGCACAAUGGGCGGAAGCCUGAUGCAGCCAUGCCGCGUGUAUGAAGAAGGCCUUCGGGUUGUAAAGUACUUUCAGCGGGGAGGCGUUACCCGCAGAAGAAGCACCGGCUAACUCCGUGCCAGCAGCCGCGGUAAUAC
rnacentral:rRNA from 1 species